GGGGAAUCUUAGACAAUGGGCGAAAGCCUGAUCUAGCCAUGCCGCGUGGACGAUGAAGGCCUUAGGGUUGUAAAGUCCUUUCAGAUGGGAAGAUAAUGACGGUACCAUCAGAAGAAGCCCCGGCUAACUCCGUGCCAGCAGCCGCGGUAAUACGGAGGGGGCUAGCGUUGUUCGGAAUUACUGGGCGUAAAGCGCGCGUAGGCGGACUGGAAAGUUGGGGGUGAAAUCCCGGGGCUCAACCUCGGAACUGCCUUCAAAACUAUCAGUCUGGAGUUCGAGAGAGGUGAGUGGAAUUCCGAGUGUAGAGGUGAAAUUCGUAGAUAUUCGGAGGAACACCAGUGGCGAAGGCGGCUCACUGGCUCGAUACUGACGCUGAGGUGCGAAAGCGUGGGGAGCAAAC
rnacentral:rRNA from 1 species